AUAUCCGAUUUCAUACAAAAUUUAUCUCACUGAGCAGACUGGAUUCGAGAGGCUAUAGGAUGAUAGCUGGUGGAGGAAUCCUGAAGGUACUGUACGGUGAUAAGAUUAUUUUGGAGGAGAAGAAGAGGACGAGAGGAUAUUACUACCUAGCGGGAAGUCCAGUGUGAGGUGGAGCUUCAAGAGUCAGGAGGAGCCUAAAGCGAGGUAGA
rnacentral:lncRNA from 1 species